AACCUAGCACACCUGCGGUGUGUACCUGCGGAGGGAUCAUUACCUAGAGUUGUAGGCUUUGCCUGCUAUCUCUUACCCAUGUCUUUUGAGUACCUUACGUUUCCUCGGUGGGCUCGCCCACCGAUUGGACAAAUUUAAACCCUUUGCAGUUGAAAUCAGCGUCUGAAGAAACUUAAUAGUUACAACUUUCAGCAACGGAUCU
rnacentral:misc_RNA from 1 species